rnacentral:lncRNA from 1 species
GUCAAUAUAUUGGUCACUAUGGAAAGAACCUUGAAAAGUUUAAGGGGCACUAUUCUCACUAUGGAACAAACUUCUUUCAAGAGAAAGUUUAGUUGGAAGAAGAAAAUAAAAUCCGCUAAGAAGCAUAAGAAAGAGAACAAGCCAAAGAAAGAUGUUUCAAAGAAGGCUGAAGCAAGGGGAAAAUGUUUCCACUAUGAUGAUGAAGGCUACUAGAGGAAGAACUGUCCACUCUACUUGAAGAGCCUAAAGACC